rnacentral:lncRNA from 1 species
AGAUAUACACUCUUUCCCUACGCACCGCUCCCGCACACCGGCGUCCUAGCGUUUCACGCGCGCAUGUGACCGGGGAUAGGGGCUUUGCGCCCUGGCACUCUCUGCCAAGCGUCUGGGGACUUUCCCCAGAGCGAUAACGCGGGAUCCACGCAGGGAUCGUUCGUAGCUCCGAGAUCAAGCGUAGGCGAAACA